CUGAGCACAGGGACAGAAUACCCAGAGAGAUUGUGGAAUCUCCCACACUGGAGAUAUUCACGAACCAUCUGGACACAAUCCCAUGCCUGCUUGAGGAAGGAGAACUGAAAAAAACAGAACAACAGAGAGCAGGGUGACUGAAGAAGUGUAAGGAGAAUUUAUGCCCAAACAAGAGUAGCUGAAGGAGAAUAAACUUUGGUGAGGAAAACUCCAGGACUGCCUCUUCUACCAGCGAGAUCUGAUGAUUCUACAAAUGGGAGACCCUUAAAAGUGGAAUGUGAGAGAUAACAUCUAUAGCUUGAAGCAAAGUCCCUGUCUGUGUGCCAUCACCAUGACCACUUACACCUUGCUUGGAGCCUGGCCCAAGGCCUGCUGACGUUCUGUACAUAAAUGGAAAUGACUGACCUAUCCUACAGCUAUGGGAGUCUGCAGCUGAACCAGGUGCACAGCUACAUGGAGUAAAUGUUGCCUUUUUCCCAGGGCAAGGGACUCUGUUCACACUAGCAAUGGAAAUAAACAACUUUACAACAAUAACAGACAAAUCACAGCACCUGAGCUGUGAGGUGAUGUUCACUGAAAUCAAAAUCAUCAGCUUUUCAAGGCAGGAACAGCUAUACCUCUCACAGAGAAACACGAAUUCACAGAUGCUUUCAGUCCUUGCACCUCCAGUGAUCCAGAUGUUUAUGCCAUACUCUAAUCAGUUCACUGAGGCUGUCCUGAUGUCACAAGCUAUACAAGAGUGGCUUUGCUGGAAAAUAAAUUUUAAAAACUGCUGGACUACACAUUUUUUUGUGUCUGAGUUUUGAAUUGUUACAAUAUAUGUAGGGACCUGCUGAUCAAACUAAUGGGAAGGAAGAAAAUGCAGAAGCAUUUGAAGCUGGGACAGUUGACCUCGGAAGAGUAAAGGGAUGAAGGGCAGCAGUGUACACAUAGGGUGAGGCCAAGGCAAAGCUGGAACUGAAGCUGGCAAGGGACACAAAGAAUAACAGGAAGGGCUCCUACAGGUGGGUUAACCAGAAGGGGAAGGUCAAAGAAGAUGUCCCAUAAACAAUGCUGGAAAACUGGUAACAACGGAAGAGGAGAAGGCUGGUGUACCUAACAAUUUUUGCUUCAGUCUUCAAUGGCAGUCUCUCUUCCCACACCUCUCAAAUGGAUGGACAGCAGGACGGGGACUGGGAGAGCAAAGUCCCUCCCGCUGAAAGGGAAGGUCAAGUUCAUGAGCACCUGAGGACCCUGACUGUACAUAAAUCUAUGGGGUCUGAGGAGAGGAAUCCUAGAGUACCGAGGGAACUGGCUGACACAGUUGCCAAGCCUCUUGCCAUGAUAUUUGAAAAAUGGCAUUUAGAUGAAGUCCCAGGUGACUGGAAAAGAGGAAAUAUUGUACGCAUCUUUAAAAAGGGGAGAACAGAGGACUUUGUGAACCACCCACCUGUCAGCCUUACAUCUCGCUUCCAGCCCAGACCACUCUAUGAUUCUAUUUUAAUUAUAAUGCAUAGAGUUCUGUUACU